GCCGCGUGAGGGAUGACGGCCUUCGGGUUGUAAACCUCUUUUAGCAGGGAAGAAGCGAGAGUGACGGUACCUGCAGAAAAAGCACCGGCUAACUACGUGCCAGCAGCCGCGGUAAUACGUAGGGUGCAAGCGUUAUCCGGAAUUAUUGGGCGUAAAGAGCUCGUAGGCGGUCUGUCGCGUCUGCUGUGAAAUUCCGAGGCUCAACCUCGGGCUUGCAGUGGGUACGGGCAGACUAGAGUGCGGUAGGGGAGAUUGGAAUUCCUGGUGUAGCGGUGGAAUGCGCAGAUAUCAGGAGGAACACCGAUGGCGAAGGCAGAUCUCUGGGCCGUAACUGACGCUGAGGAGCGAAAGGGUGGGGAGCAAACAGGCUUAGAUACCCUGGUAGUCCACCCCGUAAACGUUGGGAACUAGUUGUGGGGUCCUUUCCACGGAUUCCGUGACGCAGCUAACGCAUUAAGUUCCCCGCCUGGGGAGUACGGCCGCAAGGCUAAAACUCAAAGGAAUUGACGGGGACCCGCACAAGCGGCGGAGCAUGCGGAUUAAUUCGAUGCAACGCGAAGAACCUUACCAAGGCUUGACAUACACGAGAACGGGCCAGAAAUGGUCAACUCUUUGGACACUCGUGAACAGGUGGUGCAUGGUUGUCGUCAGCUCGUGUCGUGAGAUGUUGGGUUAAGUCCCGCAACGAGCGCAACCC
rnacentral:rRNA from 1 species